GACCAUCUUCAAAUAUUGUUCUGAGCAGGAAUCACAGUUACAAUGAAAACAGUGAAGUCAUCAAAACACUUUCACGGCUUCUGUCUCCUGAACAUGUCCAUGAAAUCUAUCUGAAUAUAAGAACUUGCUGAACAGAUCAUCAAAUCCAGCAUCCUCUUCCUAACAGCAGUAUUAGAGUUGCAUUAAUGUAAAGGAUGUGGAUGGAUCAGUCCUCAGCUGUUCAGGUAAAACCAGAUGCCUACUGUGAGCAGAAAGAGGAGAGGAACUCCCUGUCUGCAGUGAAUCCAGGCUCAGCUUUCCUGUUCCUCAGCCCCUGAGGUGGAAGAAGCCUCUGUUUCCCUGAGGACAGUUAAUUCUUCCCCUCUCUU
rnacentral:lncRNA from 1 species